AGAUUGAACGCUGGCGGCAUGCCUUACACAUGCAAGUCGAACGGCAGCACGGGAGCAAUCCUGGUGGCGAGUGGCGAACGGGUGAGUAAUAUAUCGGAACGUGCCCAGUCGUGGGGGAUAACGCAGUGAAAGCUGUGCUAAUACCGCAUACGAUCUAUGGAUGGAAAGGCGGGGACUCGCAAGAGCCUCGCGCGAUUGGAGCGGCCGAUAUCAGAUUAGCUAGUUGGUGGGUAAAACGCCCACAAGGCGACGACUCUGUAGCUGGUCUGGAGAGGACGACCAGCCACAGUAGGAACUGAGACACCGGUCCAGACUCCGUAGGGAGCAGC
rnacentral:rRNA from 1 species